rnacentral:lncRNA from 1 species
AAAUUUUGGAGAUAUAAUUUGGAGCAUUGGGAAGGAGACAAAAUAAAUUCAAGAGUCUCCAAAUAGAGAUUUUAAAUUUAGUUAUAUUGUAAUUUAAUUGUUUAAACUUUUUGGACAAUCUUUUACACAUUGGACCAUUGUUAAAAAUUUAUGAUAGGCCCAAAGUUGUAGGACACUUAUCACCCUAGGGUUUUAGGAUGGACCCCACC